CAAUAGUUAUUACAAAUUAUUAUAGACCAAAAUGAACCAGAAAAAGUGAAAAUUAUAUCAGAAAUUCAAGCUACAACUAAACAGCCUAAUUCAGACUCAAGGUCUAACAAUAUGAGAUUAACCAACUUCCAGGAUCAGAUUUCCAAAAGCCUCUCUCUUAUUUGAGAUGUGUCCAAGUUCCCAAAAGUCUCAAAGGGCCCCGGGCAGUGCUUACACCCAAAAUACAUUGCAGAAUUAAAUCAGAGUGCAGUGUGGAAGGGCCAGCCCUCAAAUGUCUAAGUUCAAAGGAAACUCAAGGUCCCAAAGCAAGGCUCAUAAGAGGGGGCCAGAACUUAGAGUGUAAAAGUAAGUGCAAGUGCAUAAAGAGGGAAUUUGGGAAAGCCAUGGCAGGCUGGUGGUCAUGCACAGCAAUUAGGAGUGCUGGCACACCCCUGACCAGUCUGUUAGCCCAAUCUUAGGAGUUAGGAUCCGUUGUGGAUCAGGUUAUGACCUGGGCAAUAAUUUGGAUACUGGCAGACCAAGAAACUUAACUCAAACACAUAGAAGGGAAUAUGGGGUAGGGAUUCUCGAUAGAAUUAGAUGCAAGGAAAAUACAUACAUAGUCUAAUCACUGAACAGCAAUAGCAAAGUAAACACGAAUGCUGAAACUAUGAAGUAAACACAUAGGUGUGAAGCAGAAAAUAAAAUUAGAACAUACCAGUUUCAGGAAAAAACAAGUAAAAACAAAAGUCUUAUAAAAUCCAAGUUGCAAGCAAAACAGCUCUGAAAGAUCUCAAGAAAAAGCAGAAUGUUGAAAGAAUAUUGAACUCAAAGCAUUAAGUGUGGGAGAGUAUUGAAUUGGAAGUUAGGGAUGAUCAUAUUGACGGUGUGUGAAGAGUGCAGAAUGGCAGUCCCUUUUAUCGUGCAGAAAACAAGUAAGAAAGGUAAGGAAACAACAUUAAAAUUAAUCUCCCUUUAGAUAAGGAAUUCUAAUUUCAAUGGGUAACAACCAAUUAAGGAAAGAAGUUUUGAUUAAAACCUUAUCAAAGUAACGCAAAAUGGGAAAAAUACACAGAAGUCAUUUAAGGAAAACAUUCAACGUUACAUGGCUUGUGACAAAUAUGGAAAGGGAAUCAAUCAAAC
rnacentral:lncRNA from 1 species